rnacentral:rRNA from 1 species
GAUGAACGCUGGCGGCGUGCCUAAUACAUGCAAGUCGAGCGAACGGACGAGAAGCUUGCUUUUCUGAUGUUAGCGGCGGACGGGUGAGUAACACGUGGAUAAACCACCUAUAAGACUGGGAUAACUUCGGGAAACCGGAGCUAAUACCGGAUAAUAUCUUGAACCGCAAGGUCCAAAAGUGAAAGACGGUCUUGCUGUCACUUAUAGAUGGAUCCGCGCUGCAUUAGCUAGUUGGUAAGGUAACGGCUUACCAAGGCAACGAUGCAUAGCCGACCUGAGAGGGUGAUCGGCCACACUGGAACUGAGACACGGUCCAGACUCCUACGGGAGGCAGCAGUAGGGAAUCUUCCGCAAUGGGCGAAAGCCUGACGGAGCAACGCCGCGUGAGUGAUGAAGGUCUUCGGAUCGUAAAACUCUGUUAUUAGGGAAGAACAUAUGUGUAAGUAACUGUGCACAUCUUGACGGUACCUAAUCAGAAAGCCACGGCUAACUACGUG